rnacentral:rRNA from 1 species
GGCUCAGGACGAACGCUGGCGGCGUGCCUAAUACAUGCAAGUCGAGCGGACAGAUGGGAGCUUGCUCCCUGAUGUUAGCGGCGGACGGGUGAGUAACACGUGGGUAACCUGCCUGUAAGACUGGGAUAACUCCGGGAAACCGGGGCUAAUACCGGAUGGUUGUUUGAACCGCAUGGUUCAAACAUAAAAGGUGGCUUCGGCUACCACUUACAGAUGGACCCGCGGCGCAUUAGCUAGUUGGUGAGGUAACGGCUCACCAAGGCAACGAUGCGUAGCCGACCUGAGAGGGUGAUCGGCCACACUGGGACUGAGACACGGCCCAGACUCCUACGGGAGGCAGCAGUAGGGAAUCUUCCGCAAUGGACGAAAGUCUGACGGAGCAACGCCGCGUGAGUGAUGAAGGUUUUCGGAUCGUAAAGCUCUGUUGUUAGGGAAGAACAAGUACCGUUCGAAUAGGGCGGUACCUUGACGGUACCUAACCAGAAAGCCACGGCUAACUACGUGCCAGCAGCCGCGGUAAUACGUAGGUGGCAAGCGUUGUCCGGAAUUAUUGGGCGUAAAGGGCUCGCAGGCGGUUUCUUAAGUCUGAUGUGAAAGCCCCCGGCUCAACCGGGGAGGGUCAUUGGAAACUGGGGAACUUGAGUGCAGAAGAGGAGAGUGGAAUUCCACGUGUAGCGGUGAAAUGCGUAGAGAUGUGGAGGAACACCAGUGGCGAAGGCGACUCUCUGGUCUGUAACUGACGCUGAGGAGCGAAAGCGUGGGGAGCGAACAGGAUUAGAUACCCUGGUAGUCCACGCCGUAAACGAUGAGUGCUAAGUGUUAGGGGGUUUCCGCCCCUUAGUGCUGCAGCUAACGCAUAAGC